GACAGAGGUGGCAAGCGUUGUCCGGAAUUACUGGGCGUAAAAAGCGCGUAGGUGGCUAGAUAAGUCCGGUGUGAAAUCCUUCGGCUUAACCGGGGAAUGGCAUCGGGGACUGUUUAGCUAGAGGACGGGAGAGGAGAGCGGAAUUCCCGGUGUAGCGGUGAAAUGCGUAGAGAUCGGGAGGAAGGCCGGUGGCGAAGGCGGCUCUCUGGAACGUCCCUGACGCUGAGGCGCGAAAGCGUGGGGAGCAAACAGG
rnacentral:rRNA from 1 species